GAAAAGGGCAGAGCAACAAAAGACAGGUGGUGGUCCUGCACCCCCUCGUCACACCCCAGCAGAGGAGCUGGCCCUAGGGUUGAAUGCCACCAGACCCAGUGUUGAGGGCAUCCCUGUGGCCAGCUCUUCCUUAGACCAGCAGCCGGGGUGCAGUAGCAGCAGCACCUUCAUAACUGUUGUACAUGACACUCCAUCACUUUUACCUGUUCCCAUGCAAGGGGUGACUGAAGCAUGCACAGACAGUGAACCAACCCUGUCAGAUGACUGUGGUUUGGAGGAAGUCCCUGCAAAGAGGCCGGCAGAGAGGCCUGAUACAGAGGGUGACAUCCGUUUGCUCUAUAAGAGAAGUCUCCAGCAGAAAAUAGAAUAUACUGAGCUAAAGAAACAGAAGCUUCUAGGUGAAAUCGAACUUCAAGCUCUAAUGAGGCAAAAAGUUCAACUGGAAAUCGAGUUGCUACAGAAGGAACUACAGAGCAAAUGAUGACUGGCUUCUGUUGGAUGAGACGGCAAAAGAUGCUCAAAUAAAUCUCAAUGGAAAAUA
ensembl:lncRNA